ensembl:lncRNA
GUAGGAGAAGGCAUUUCAGGUCCCGCCCGAGGAUGCUCCCGCCCGCCCGGGCCCGCGGGGCUUGUUUGCUCCCGGCGGGUGCGUCCCGGACGCGCGCGCGCGCACCCGGAUGCCCGGCCGAGUAGCCGGUGCAGGUGCGGGGUGCUAGGCGCCCUGCGCGUGCGGCAGGCAGGGGUCCCCGCCGCCACCUCCUUCCUAUAAUCAUCGCUUUCUGUGUUUCCUUAGACUGCAGACGUUCACCACUUCUGGCUAGAAAUAGCUCGGCCCGACGUGUAUAUGAUUAUUUUGGUUGGAAAUAGUUGGCACCGUGCAAUGCCUGUAAAUGUGUGUGCGUGUGGAUCUUACCUCUUCUGGGGAAAUAAUAGACAUGAUUGACCAUUUCCACUUAAAACAACACUGACAGGCCGGCACUCGUUGGGAGCAGUCUUCGGGCCUCCUAAAAGCAUGUAAACGAUGAUGUCUUAUUUUCAGAAUUUUAAAGUUGCCUUUUCCUUAAUUAAUUAGACCUUGUCUAUGUCGUACGGUACUUCUGACUGUAGACUUUGUAGGCAGUACUAUAUAGAAGUAUGGAAAUACGGAAUUCUCCAAUUUCCAAGUGUGUCUAAGUGCAACUUUAUCUAGAAUCAUAAAACUAGCAUUUUUCUAGAGAAAGAUGCAAAUACCUGUUAUGUUUUCAUAAAUAUGCAUGUAUUGGAGAGAUGACCCUCUAUUCCCCUAACUUUUUUUUUUUUACUCGAUAGUGAUUCCAGCUAUUGUUCUAAAGCACGUGUUUGACAUUUAAUUUUGGCCAAAACAUUCAUGAAAGGUCAUUUUUUUUACCAUAAAUGUGAUACAUGGCGGACUCUAAGUUAUGAAUGUGUGAAGAUGGCUGUUUAAUAAUUCUAUUUGGUUGGCAAUAAUGUCGUGCAAACAUAAGCAGCUGUGUAACAUCUAAAAUAGGAUUGUUUCCCCUUUAAAGAGAAAUCAGAUUCGUAGAGUAAACAUCACCAGGAAAAGCAACUGGUGACUUUACCUAGAAGUCUACAAGGAGAUUAAGAAAGCGUCUGAGGAACUCUGUUCUUCCGAAAAGAAAAAUUGUGUGUCUGUUGAUAUAAUCUCCAGUUGCCAUACAUGGAGCUGGAUCCCAAAGAAAGAAGAAAACAGUUCUACAAGCACAUCACAGCCUUCUUGUGCUUAGGAGCACUAUACAGCACUUGAGCACAUUGCUUGGGGGCCCUUUCAGACAGCAAAAUUGCCAACAAAAAGCACAAAAUUGUGAAAAACAUGGCACUAAACAGACCAUGAAAAGGACACUUGUUUAGGAUGUGAGAGCUGAAACAAGAAGGCAGAGCAGAGCCCUGUUUGACCUCAGCUGGGAUCGUGUGCAUCAGUGGCUCAGCUUUUUUGCAUCUCUGCAUGUCUGCCAAAGUGUUGCUACCAUCGAUUUUGCAGUUACAAAUAAAUUUUGGUAAGUAGGUGAAUUUGCAGACAGUCAGGAUCGACUGUAUAUGCCAAUAUUUCUCUCUGGACCUGAGGUCUAGGUUGAUACCACCACUCUGUGUCUGACCUUCAUUUAGUUGUUUCUCUAUUCUGGGCCUCUGUUUUCUCAUUCAUAAAACAAGCAUGUUGGGGUAGAUCGGUGGCAAUAGUUUCUUUUUUUAUGUAAGAAGUAACUUUUAUUCAUGUAAAAGCCCAGGGUAUAAAGCAGUAGUCAGCUCCCUGCAUCUCUUGUCCUCCACCAAUUUUACCAAAAACGUAUGGAAAACCACUGGGCUAGAUCUCCGAGGCCAUUUUCCUCUGUCCCAUUAGGUUAUAAUUUAUUCAUUUGAGAAAUAUUUAUUGAGCCUGGAACAAUACUAGAUGCUGUAGUUGCACCAAACUCACUGAAAAAAAAAAUUGAUCAGAACUAUUUGGAAAUGGCCUACACGUACUUUUUAUUUGUAAUUCUUAUUAAAAAGGUUUUCUGCUAGUUCCAGUCUUCUCACCUCUCUCUUCAUCUUGAGUGGCCUCAAUGAAUCUUUCAGACUCACUGUUGUCUCACACACAUCAGAUCCAUUUAGGACCUCAUCCCAGGUUUCGCUCAUCCUGGUUUGGGCAUCCUUCAUCUAUGAGAUUGGAGCCGGAAACGACCUUCUCAUUGGUCAUGUCCGAAGGGAAGUCGGUUGGAAAGCAAUGCACCCACCCACAAGAUACCCACUCAAAAGGACACCCAGUAUUUUCCUGGAUAUCCCUGUCACUUUGGGGGUUGUGUUUACUGCUCUACUAGAAGGUUGUCAUAAUGGAGAUGCCUUUCCCCUCUAGAGAAUGCAUUUUCAUAAUCCAUAUGUGCAAAAAUAGUAAAGUAAUAAGCAGUAUGCAUUAAAACAGUCUUGAAGUGAGCUUCUAGUUUAAAGCGAAUUGUAAUUCUUCCAUAUGGUAAUUGAUGUGUGAUUUUUCUUAGUCUUCAGUGCAUGAAGGCUAAAAACUACAGUUUGUUAAGAUUGUGCCUAGUUCUUCAAAGGUGAUUCAUUCCUCUAAGAAGGAAAUUGGGAAAAAGGAGUUGACAGUAGAUGUGGAUCGGUUUGUUUUAAUCCAGUGAGUGUAUUUUAAUCAUGAA